AUUUAAGGACUGACUACCAAGGAGGAAGGAUCUUUAGCUGGAGAUCCUUCCUCUUGGAGCCCUUCUGUGAGCCCAGGACACAGUGGAUGGAAAGCAUACCUUUGUCCUGCGGCUGGACAGCCGUGCAAGUCCUCUUCUGUAAUCCAGCCAGUCUUAUCAUCCAUACAUUGUGUCCAUCUGGCAGUGGGUCUUGUGUUUCUGGAAUUAUAUUGGUACGCCUCAAAUAUCCUGCAUAAGUAUUACAUCUUGCUGCACAUGUCCUGCAUACGUACAGCUUCUCACAAUGUGCUCUCUAAACCCAAGAAACACACAGAAACAAGCAAUAAUGACUUUUCCUGGCUUAUCAAAUGAUGAGGCUUGGACUCCUUGUUUGGAGUUUCUGGUGUUACGACUUGGAAGCAAUUUCUUGAGGAACACAGAAUCUAAAGCUGCCGGAGCAGCUCAGUACAUCCUUACUCUUUUCCUUAUAUUUCUUUUGGGAAAGGGGUCUGCUGAGUCUGAGGCUGCAGAUCCUGUGAAUCACCUUAAUAGGCUGCAAAUGAUCUGUGAGUCUGAAGCCAAACCUCUGCACUGUGACUUUGUGAUGCUGAAGGAGGCACUAUUUUCUGUUUUGGCCAUGGAGAGAUAAGUGAACUGGGAAGAAGGCCUCAUCUGCUGUGUGGUAGCCACUUGUGUUUCACUGUGCACUUGCUUGUUUUUCCUCUUUACCUAAAAUUAAUGAAGCUGCUGCCUGUCACUUGAAACUCCAUGCAUGUGUCUGUAAUUCAUUUGCCUGUCUCUGUCAGCGGAGUAUUAUGUUAUAUAUAGCACUGCACUCUUAUCAUCUAAGUAGAGGAAACCUACGUGUGUUUUUACUAGACAAGGUUGUCUCAUUUGCAAGUACAAAGCUCAAGAUACAGAAAUGUUAUGAAGACUGCAUUGUUCAUGUUGAGGGGGCACACUUAAAGAUUACGUGGCUGACAUACUUCUGUGCUAUCUCCUACUUUCCUCAGAAUAUUAAGUUCAUUUAACAUAUUGUUCAAAAUUAAAAAAGAAAGUGGCAUAUUGACACUCACGGUGUGAAAGUAGAUAUUUCUUAAAAUGUAAAACACUCAACAUCCUUGAUGGGGGGGAGGGGGAAAGCCAUAAAAUAAAUAAAUUACAGUCAAAAUAAAAAUCUCUUCUGUAUGCC
ensembl:lncRNA